GGCGCGUUGGUCAAGCGGUCAAGACACCGCCCUUUCACGGCGGUAACACGAGUUCGAUUCUCGUACGCGUCACCA
rnacentral:tRNA from 1 species